AACGAACGCUGGCGGCAUGCCUAACACAUGCAAGUCGAACGAGACCUUCGGGUCUAGUGGCGCACGGGUGCGUAACGCGUGGGAACCUGCCCUUAGGUUCGGAAUAACUCCCCGAAAGGGGUGCUAAUACCGGAUAAUGUCUUCGGACCAAAGAUUUAUCGACUUUGGAUGGGCCCGCGUUGGAUUAGCUAGUUGGUAGGGUAAAAGCCUACCAAGGCGACGAUCCAUAGCUGGUCUGAGAGGAUGAUCAGCCACACUUGGACUGAGACACGGCCCAGACUCCUACGGGAGGCAGCAGUGGGGAAUAGUGGACAAUGGGCGGAAGCCUGAUCCAGCAAGGCCGCGUGAGUGAUGAAGGCCUUAGGGUUGUAAAGCGCUUUUACCCGGGAUGAUAAUGACAGUACCGAGAGAAUAAGCUCCGGCUAACUCCGUG
rnacentral:rRNA from 1 species